UGAAAAAUAUAUCAAAACUUGAGUGUUUUAAUGCAAUUGAAUGGAUUUUCAUUUGUGUUGAACAUUUGGCAAGAAAGGUGUGAUUGAGGAAGUGUAAGUUCCUUUGAUCUACCUAAGAGUGAGGUUUGAACUACCAUUGAUGAGGUGUUUUUGAAUGUUUGAGACACAUUCUUGUGCUAAUCAUUGGUGAUAGUUCAAGUUCGUACAACAUUUUAUUUGAUUCAUAUCAAACAAAAAUUGAUUCUGAACCAAAGAAUAUUCACUACUCAUUCACUUGCCGAGUAUUGCCAAGUUUUCAACACUUGUGAAAUCAAGUGUGAGGUACAUUUGACCAUGGAACCCGAGGGUUCUUCAUCCCAACCUUUGGGAAAUGAUAUUGUGGGGCCUUAAAGGCUCAAUUUAAUGCCUUUAGCCGAGAGUUGAAAGGUGAUAUAGAUGCUAUAAGGAGAGACAUAAAAGGUGAUACGGAUGCUAUGAGGAGUUAAAUUACAUCCUUGAAGGGUGGUGGGGCAAGAAUGAAAGUGGGGGUUGAUAGACUAUGUGGUAGACUAUGUCCAACAAAACCUCCAUAAGUCCAAAAAAUCUUAAAUAGUUCUUUAGAUUUCAGGACUAUUGAUACAGUCUACUCAGAUACAUUACGGAGCUCAAAUAGUUCCAUCAAAUUUAGGGCUUUCAGAUAUAGUCACCCAUAUUAUCAGUUAUAUCAGUUAUGUUAGC